GUGCUCACUUAGGCAGUACAUGUACUAAAAUUGGAACGAUACAUAGAAGAUUAGUAUGUCCCCUGUGCUUGGAUGACAUUCAAAGUUAUGAAGCAUGCCAUAUUGAA
ensembl:snRNA U6 U6 spliceosomal RNA